rfam:Staphylococcus pseudintermedius strain 063228, complete genome.
AUAUCUCCUUAAUCGUUGGUUUGGUCACUUACAAUUAUAGAGAUAUUUGUGCUUUUUU